AGAAAUGGAUGAUAUGGAUAGAGACCUAGGAGAUGAAUAUGGAUGGAAACAGGUGCAUGGAGAUGUAUUUAGACCAUCAAGUCACCCACUGAUAUUUUCCUCUCUGAUUGGUUCUGGAUGUCAGAUAUUUGCUGUGUCUCUCAUCGUUAUUAUUGUUGCAAUGAUAGAAGAUUUAUAUACUGAGAGGGGAUCAAUGCUCAGUACAGCCAUAUUUGUCUAUGCUGCUACGUCUCCAGUGAAUGGUUAUUUUGGAGGAAGUCUGUAUGCUAGACAAGGAGGAAGGAGAUGGAUAAAGCAGAUGUUUAUUGGGGCAUUCCUUAUCCCAGCUAUGGUGUGUGGCACUGCCUUCUUCAUCAAUUUCAUAGCCAUUUAUUACCAUGCUUCAAGAGCCAUUCCUUUUGGAACAAUGGUGAGUUGCUUGAAUCUUACUUUUAAACUGAAAAAGUAUACACAUUCUAACUGAGACCUACUCACCCUCCAAAAUACUUCUUAUUAGAUGUUUUGAUGGUUUCAGUCAGUUCAUACUCAGUCCUGGAAAGUUAGAUGAGGAGAAUACUACUGUUGUUAGCCUCCAUAAAAUUUUGGUUAAGUUUAAACCUAUAGUUGGCUUUUUAUUUUUUCUUGAUUCUGUAAGCCAGUAAAGUGAAAGGCUGACUUUAAAAGAGAGCACUAUAGCUUUUUAUCAGAGAUGGGAAGAACUGGUGAAUAUAUUUUAGAGAAAGAAUCAUGACAAUCACAAAACAUGGGUGUUUUAAGAUGAUAGGUGAGUGCAGUGGUAGAAAGUAAAGCUUUUCCAUGACACAUUUUUUUGUAUUAACAUACUUUUCUUAGAAAGUCACUAAGCAUUGGCCAGGCGCGGUGGCUCACACCUUUAAUCCCAGCAC
rnacentral:lncRNA from 1 species